AUUGAACGCUGGCGGCAGGCCUAACACAUGCAAGUCGAGCGGAUGAAGGGAGCUUUCUCCUGGCUUCAGCUGCGGACGGGUGAGUAAUGCCUAGGAAUCUGCCUGGUAUUGGGGGAUAACGUCCGUACACGGGCGCUAAUACCGCAUACGUCCUGAUGGAGAAAGUGGGGGAUCUUCGGACCUCACGCUAUCAGAUGAGCCUAGGUCGGAUUAGCUAGUUGGUUGGGUAAAGGCCUACCAAGGCGACGAUCCGUAACUGGUCUGAGAGGAUGAUCAGUCACACUGGAACUGAGACACGGUCCAGACUCCUACGGGAGGCAGCAGUGGGGAAUAUUGGACAAUGGGCGAAAGCCUGAUCCAGCCAUGCCGCGUGUGUGAAGAAGGUCUUCGGAUUGUAAAGCACUUUAAGUUGGGAGGAAGAGCAGUAAGUUAAUACCUUGCUGUUUUGACGGUACCAACAGAAUAAGCACCGGCUAACUUCGUG
rnacentral:rRNA from 1 species